AAUUCCGCCCGAUUCCCAAAUUUUCGUGUGCUAUAGCCCACGCCUUCCAAGUGGUCCCGGGACCCCCGGACCCCGAUCGCCUAAAUUUUUUUCGGGCCAUAAAAUACGACUUAAGGAACCAUAGUCACCGCCCCGCCAUGACCUUUCCUCAUGUUUUGCAUUUUACGGCCAAAAAACUAGAAUUACGCCUGAUUCCCAUAUUUUCGUGUGUUAUACCCACGCCUUCCAAGUGGUCCGGGGAGCCGCGGACCCCGAUCGCCUAAAAGUUUUUCGGACUAUCAAAUACGACCUAAGGAACCAUAUUCACCACCCCGCCAUGAUCAUUCCUCAUAUUUUGCUUUUUUGGGCCAAAAAACUAGAAUUUCGCCCGAUUUGCAUAUUUUUGUGUGCUAUAGCCCACGCCUUCCGAGUGGUCCCGGGACCCCCGGACCCCGAUCGCCUAAAAUUUUUCCGGGCCAUCAAAUACGACCGAAGGAACCAUAGUUACCGCCCCGCCAUUACCAUUCCUCAUAUUUUGCGUUUUACGGCCAAAAAAUUAGAAUUUCGCCUGAUUCCCAUAUUUUCGUGUGCUAUAGCCCACGCCUUCCAAGUGGUCCCGGGACUCCGCGGACCCCGAUCGCCUAAAAUUUUUCCGGGCCAUCAAAUACGACCUAAGGAACCAUAGUCACCGCCCCGCCAUGAUCGUUCCUCAUAUUUUGCUUUUUUGGGCCAAAAAACUAGAAUUACGCCCGAUUCCCAUAUUUUCGUGUGCUAUAGCCCACGCCUUCCAAGUGGUCCGGGGAGCCGCGGACCCCGAUCGCCUAAAAUUUUUUCGGUCCAUCAAAUACGACCUAAGGUACCAUAGUCACUGCCCCACCAUGAUCAUUCCAAA
rnacentral:lncRNA from 1 species